UGCCUUUUUAAAUACAAGAAAAAUUACAAUGAUUUUUUUCUCCAUCAAAAUCACAAUGUCAUCAAAAUUGGAUCAGUAGUCGAAUCAAUCAAACCACCAAUUCGAUUUAAUUAAAUAAAUUAUUAAAAUCAUAAAAAAUAAAAAUAAAAAUAUUAUUACUGAUAAUCCAAUCAACGCUUUAGCUUGGUUCAACCGGUUUUGAGCAGUUAAUAGGUCAACUGGUUUAAACCAUCUCUCCAGACCGAUACUAUGGAUAGUUAUCGAUACAACCGGUUCGAUUGGCUGGUCCAAU
rnacentral:lncRNA from 1 species